AGUGAACGCUGGCGGCGUGCUUAACACAUGCAAGUCGAACGAGAACGGAUUAUAGCUUGCUAUAAUUGUCAGCUAAGUGGCGCACGGGUGAGUAAUGUAUAGGUAAUAUGCCUCUUACUAAGGGAUAACAAUUGGAAACGAUUGCUAAUACCUUAUAUCCCUUUUUAUCAAAAGAUAAUAAGGGAAAGAUUUAUUGGUAAGAGAUUAGCCUGUAUUGUAUCAGUUAGUUGGUGGGGUAAUGGCCUACCAAGACAAUGACGCAUAACUGGUUUGAGAGGAUGAUCAGUCACACUGGAACUGAGACACGGUCCAGACUCCUACGGGAGGCAGCAGUGGGGAAUAUUGCACAAUGGACGAAAGUCUGAUGCAGCAACGCCGCGUGGAGGAUGACACAUUUCGGUGCGUAAACUCCUUUUAUAUAAGAAGAUAAUGACGGUAUUAUAUGAAUAAGCACCGGCUAACUCCGUGCCAGCCGCCGCAGUAAAAC
rnacentral:rRNA from 1 species